rnacentral:lncRNA from 1 species
CACACACAUCAGCUGCGCCUAUCCUCCUUUCUCUCUCUAUGGCUCCCUCUCUCGUCUCUCCCUCUCUGUUCGGCUGAGGGCGGCGCCGCCUUCGGCGCGCCGCCUCGCCGUCGCCUCCGCUCUCUCUCUCACAAGACUGCCGGAACAAGGUACAGCAGACGCACGCCGCUGUCAAAGCGGUGCGCCGCCGCCGCUGCCUCCGUCGUCCUUGCAGCAGAUCCGCUGCCGCGUCAAGACCACGGCCACCGCCUUUCCUCCCUCUCUAACUCUCACCCUCGUCUCGAUCUCUCUCUGGGCCGACGAACGACGUAAAACGCCGCCGCCUCCCCCUCUUUCGGUCGAUCCAGCAGCCCUAAUGGCUACCGCCGCCGUCGUCCUUGUCUUCCUCUGAUUUCCGGCGAAGCAACCCCCGCGGUGCCGCCGCCGUUCAGCAGGUAAACCCUAACUCCCUCUCUACUUUCCUCAUCUUCUUCCCCUUUCAAAUUAAAACUGAAAACCCCUCUCUCCUUUCCGAUUUGGCUGAAACAAAGCAACGGCGACGUCGCUGCUAUCACGUUACCGCCGCCGCCGACGUCGACGAGCCACCAUAGCUCCGCCGCCGGCCGCCGUCUGAAACCAGGUAACCCUAAUUUCCCUUCUCUCCUUUCCAUUUUCUCCUACCACCUUCUUCAUUUUAAUUAAAAGCUGAAAACCCUCUCCUCUUUCCCCUUCUUGGCAGAACAGAACCAAGGCUCCGCCGCCUCUCGUCGACCACCGGCAGCCACCGCGGCUGCCGUCCCCCUGACCUCGACUCACACAUACAAAAACAGGGACUCAAGCCUCACAUUCAGUUCAUAAAAUAGCAAAUAGGAUUUGUGCAAUUUCAGUUCACAUGUAACAUAUCUUGUAUCUGUAAAUUAUGAAUUUGCUACUCAUUUUCUUCAUUUAUCAAAGCAUAUGUAAAUCUGAGUUAAUGAGCAUGUGUUGG